rnacentral:misc_RNA from 1 species
ACUUGGUCCAAGCUUCUCAAAUACUAAGCAAAUAUGGUUACGAUAAUCAAACCAGUUCCUUAAUUGUACACAACGGCUUCCACCCCUAUCAUAUCUUCCUAGCAGCUGAAGCACGUCAAUUUCUACCAUUGCUGCUUCACGAUACUUCUUUAUACUUCGGAUAAUUUUAAUGGCAACAAAUUCCUUCUGCUCUCUGUCCCAGCAUUCUAGAACUUGACCAAAGGUACCUUCACCGAUCUUUUUGAGAAUUUUAUAGCGAGUUGUUAAAUUCUCUCCAAGCUCAA